UACAGAGGUCCCAAGCGUUGUUCGGAUUCACUGGGCGUAAAGGGUGCGUAGGUGGUGUGGUAAGUCGGAUGUGAAAGCUCGGAGCUCAACUCCGAAAUGGCAUUGGAAACUACCUUGCUCGAGGGUUGGAGGGGGGACUGGAAUACUUGGUGUAGCAGUGAAAUGCGUAGAUAUCAAGUGGAACACCAGUGGCGAAGGCGAGUCCCUGGACAACUCCUGACACUGAGGCACGAAGGCUAGGGGAGCAAACAGG
rnacentral:rRNA from 1 species